CUUCUCUUCUCUGCUCCCCUCGCCAUACAAACUACAUUAUAACGAUUAACAUGUCAUCUGGUAUAGUGUAUAAGCUUAAUUUUCAUCGUACUUUCACUUUUUUAACUCGUCUAUUAUAAAGAACGCCUCGAACACCCGGUUUUUUCAUGCCCUGCCUGUAUAUAUAGUUCGCCUUUAUGUAUUAAAAACCUAGAAUAUUUAUUAAUACUCCUAUGGUACUUUGACAGCUAAUAAUACUCUACAUAAAUAUUCUAAAACUUUCAUUAAUAUCCUAUGAUAAUGUCCUGCUAAUAAUACUCUACGUUAAUAUUCUGCAAUCUUCAUUAAUCCGUUUAUGAUUCAGUCUAACUAAUAUUACCUGACAAUACUGCCCAGUGAGUGAUAGUCUACAUUAAUAAUCUUCGGUCUUCAUUAAUUAAUAUGGUUUUGAUGGUGUCCAGUUAAUAAUAUUCCACCUUCAUACUCCACAAUCCUCAUUAAUAUGUUCAUGAGUAUGUGCAAUUAUUAACAAAAAUUCUAUAAUCUUCUUCGUUUAUUAAAAUGUACAAAUACAGUAUAAACAAAAGUCCUUCAGUACUAAUAAUUUCCCUUUCAUUUUUUCUUGUUAAAGCUACGAAACGCAUUUUUUUCUCUUUUUCUAUUAUUUUCAAUUUCAUGUUUUUCUUCUUGCAAAGGAUACGAGAGUAGUUUAUUUUCUUCUAAUACCUUCAAUAUCAUGUCUCUCCCUCUUCAUGUUCCUCUCUCUGCUGAGGCUGAGAGAGGCGGGUUUUUUCUCUUUUAUAUUAUCUUCAAGUUCAAGUUCUUUCCUUCUAAUAUAUUUAAUUCCAUGUUUCUUUGCUGAGGCUACGAAGAGUAUUUUUUUGUUUAUUCUAAGAUCUAAUUCCAUGUUUUUUCUCUCUGUUAAGGCAACGAGGGACGUUUUUUUUUCUCUUUUAUAUUAUCUUAAAGUUCAUGUUUCUCUCUCUGCCGAAGCAACGAGGGGCAUAGUUUUUUCUCUCUCUCCCAUACUUCUGUCACACCUCCAUCGCGUACUCUGAAGUCCUGCGCGUUAUCCAUCUCGCCUAUAAAUGUGGUCACGCGCAGUGGACCGAACGACAGCCCUGACAAGUUAACGAGCAAUUGACAUGCCUCGACGAACACACACACACACACACACACACACACACACACACACACACACACACACAGAUGGGAUGAUGCAACUCGAGUAUAUCAAUUGUGUGUGUGUGUGUGUGCGUGGUAUAUUCAUCGGUCGGGAGUGUCAGUUGCCGAAUGUGUGUCUUUGGUGACGGUCUUGCGAUGUGAUCUCUUCGUACUGUGCUAAGCGGUCUUGAACAUCGCCGUAUACUGUCACUGUUCCUGCCGUGCUAUACAAAGUUCGUUAACGCAACCCACCCUCUUCAUCGCAGCGUUUGGACUGUAUUCGUACCCUCGGGACCAGCCACGUAUUCCUUAGCACCACAUUUGUUACCGCAUCAGCCGGUGAAAUGUCGCGGUUCCCAGGUCCACAAGUGUUGUUUUUCCCCCAAGAGUUGCUCGCGCCAGGAACUGUUAGCCGCUUGAUGUAUGCAGCACAGGGAAUGUGGACACGUUUUUCUGCGCUGGUCCUCUUGUCACUGCACUGCGCUGCGCCGCCAUCGGAUACCCGCGCGCGCAAUCCUGGAAGGGAGAAGAAGUGAGGCCACAGUAAAAGGCCCCGGUGACAUGCAGAGUCCUGUCUGAGUUAAGAUUGAGAAAACUGGAGAUUCUUUGAGUGGGACCCUCGCGGCCGCGGCAGAAUGCACCUGGUUACCUCCAUCCUCCGGCCGCCAUGAUUGAUCCCUCAUCCUGCAGCACCGGGAGUACCCUUCCUCACCCGUCUGUCUAAGAGAGGACGCACACGGAUAAGUAGGAGAGGAUUGUCAAUCAUCCUGCUCUGAUGUCUGCCCCUCGGAACCCAAACAAGGGAGAUGCUGCAGCACGUCUCUCUCCUGUCAACACGCUGUCCAUGCCCAAGCCCCUCAUCGUCCCAGCUUUCGAGACUGCUCCUAAAGUUUGACAGACAGCUGGAGGUUCCACCACUGUGCAAUUAACUUCUCCAUCCAGGCCAGUACUGUUGGUUCGUUGAGGACUGCGGCGUCUAGUGGGGACCAUCCUUUGUAGGUCAUACCAGUAUAGCCCAACAUCACUUGAAAGUGUCCAAAACAUCUGUUUCUGGAUUUAGUUAUGGUAAGAUACAGGCAAGUUACAUUUCGGUAGUUUUAGUUUUCAAUUUUCUCCAUAUAAAAGAUGAUUCCUUAUUCUAAAAAGUUCUUAUUU